AUUUCCACGAAUUUACUCGCGCAGUUUUUGUGAAAAAUCCGGAAAAUAGUGAAGAAAGUUCUUUAAAAACAAGUGCAAAGGUGUGAGAAAACUCUUAAUGAUAGAUCUUAGUGGUGGCAAGUGAAAAAAAUGAUGUGCAUUGUGAGAAAUUGCAAAAACAGCGACCAGCGAAAUCCUCUGGGGGUGUCAUUCCACAGAUUUCCAGUAAUUUUAGAACUGUGCGCAACUCGUCUGAAGCUCUCAGUUGCACUUGUGGACCGAAAUAAAGCCGUAUGCAGCCUCCACACUUCAAUCCAUAAAAUAUUUCACGGAAAAGUGCCUCAAAAGUGAAGCGCUCGAAGUACGUGCGAUCCUUUGCUAAAGACUCCCUACCAAUCGCAUUCAUUGGUACCACAUCUUUUGAUGGAAAGCAAUAUGCAGAACUACUUGAGUGUGACCAUCUCUGUUCUCACAUGUCACGAUAAAGAGCCUAUUUUUAUUUUAGAUGGAAACAGUCAAUGAGAAUGGAUAUGCAACAUCAUACGGUGUAAGAAAUCCAGGCAAAGGACACAUGAAGAUGUCAAUCGUAUUACCAAAGCUGAUUCGAAAUAAGUUUUGAAAGUAUUAUAGAAACAAAUUCUACUCCAAUGCAACGAAUAAGUUAGAGUUAGCAAUUAUGUUUUAUUAUUUCUUACUAUUUUUAUGCAGAAUUAAGAAAAAUGAUGGACUUGAUCUUUAAUUGUUUCGAAUAAUUAUAAAAAGUAAUGAAUUUAUCCUAAUUUAUAGAUAGCUAUUUUUAAAAUAAAUUUAUUCUCUAUUAAAAUUUUUGUUUUUUUAACCUACUUCAAUUCAAUUUGCAAGUUUGUGGCAAAAUAUUUAAAUUGUGUCUCGUGUUGGAUUCACAUAAUGAUUUAUACUUGAAAUUCUCCUAGAUCUUUGCAAAAAAAAAACUUCUGGGUAAAUUUCUGUCUCGCUUCAUAAAAGGACAUAAAAUAGAAAAGAUUUCAGCAUCUUACCUCGAAAUAAUUUAGAUUACAGUUCUUCAAUAACUUGCCAAUUUUAGUGUGACAGAACUGUCAGAUCUUCAGUAGAAAUCUGAUUUCUUCAGAAGAAAUGGUAAACUUCACAGAUGUGAUAAUCUUAUAAUGUGAGUAUUUUCUUACCCAAAAUAUUCUAUUUGAUUUGAUUUGAGAUUCUAUUUAAUGAAUAUAAUAUUACUGGUUUGAUAUUUCGUUAGCAUUAUAGUAAAUGUAACACUUGAUGCUGAUAUUUAAACAUAAGUUAAAAAACAAUUCCUUAUUUUUGUAUUUUCAUAUGCAUUCUAUAAAAUUUAUUACCACAACGAAGCAAAAAUAAUGAGGAAUAAUAGAUGUAUAGGGUAAAUGUCCUAAUUAGAAAUCAUUUCCAGAUCCAGAUGCUUUAAUUUUGACAGAAGAUUCAACACAUUAAGUUCAUAUUUUUUUUCUGAAGAGAAUUACAUAAAUUUGCUCCUUGACUCUUCUAGAAUGUUACUGUUUAGUGAAAAUUCUUUAGAUAUAAUUUGAAAACUUCUUAAAUACAAGAAAAAUUCGCGAGCGUAAAAUGUUUCUAUUGGAAAUAUAUUAAUCCAAAUGGAGACAAGGGAAAGUUUCUAAUUGGAGACAAACAGUGUAAGUGAAACAGCGACGAAAGGCUUCCAAAACCUUGUUAAGUUGCUCCUGAGUGCAGGAUUUGUUCUUAUUCCUGGUCUUUUCUUCUUUCCCAUCUAAAACAAUAAGAAAAUCUCUCCAAAAAAAAAAAAUCAUAUUUCCGGGGUUUCGUAUUGAAGCAUUUGCAGACACUUCAGAAAAACCCUUUUUGUUCACGAAAUAGGUGAUUAUUUCAUUUGAAAACUUCACGUAUCGUUAACAAUAAAGGUUAGCACUUAAUUUAACUAAAAUUAGCCAGAAAUAUGACAUAAAUGUUAAACAAAACGAAUAAAUAACAGUCACUUUAUUGUGUUUUUCAUUGGAAAACAUGGUCGAUCGAUGAAAAAUUCAAUGAUGAAAAGAUACACUUUUAAUUUUUCUGAGAAAUGAAUAAAUUAAAAUUUGUGAAUAUGAAUGGAUUUUCGCUUUAUUUGGAGCAAAAUUAACUAAAUAAUGAAAC